rnacentral:lncRNA from 1 species
CAGGUAAAUGGGACUUUUUAGGUAAUCUAGUGAUUUUACAUGAUCAAAAAUCCAUAUUUGAUUAAUUUUUUCUUUUUUUUUUUUGAAGGCCAAUUCUCUCUCUGUCGCCAGGCUGGAGUGCAGUGGCAUGAUCUCUGCUCACUGCAACCUCCCACUCCCUGGUUCAAGCAAUUCUCCUGCCUCAGCCUCUCCAGUAGCUGGGACUACAGGCUCAGCUGGACAAUCACAGGCCUCCUCCACAAAGGAAGAGCCUGCACCUACAGAAAGUAAAACUUGGAAGGAAGAACAGAACAGGAUGUGCCCUGAAAUCAGAUUCCUGAAGAGAAGGGAGAAGCUGAAGGCCAAAACUUAGCAAUCAGGUAACUCGCUCCAGGGUAGGACCAGAGAAAACAGCCAGGGCUGUUCUGAUGGAAGAGGCCUUCCUAUGGAUAGAAACAGCAGCAAUAGGCCGGGGGCGCUGGCUCAGGCCUGCAAUCUCAGCAUUUUGGGAGGCCUGGGUGGGCAGAUGAGCAGAUCGCUUGAGGUCAGGAGUUUGAGAACAGCUUACAACAUGAUGAAAACCCCGUCUCUACUAAAGAUACAAAAAUUAGCCGGGUGUGGUGGCGGGUGCCUAUAAUCCCACCUACUCGGGAGGAUGAAGCAGGAGAAUUGCUUGAACCCUGGAGGCAGAGGUUGGCAGUGAGCCAAUAUUGCCCCACUCAUGCCAGCCUGGGUCCAGAGAGUGAGACUCUGAAAAAACAAAAACAAAAACAAAAACAAAAAAAUUAAAAAAGACAGGAAAGAAGGGAGGGAGGGAGGAAGAUCAGCAACAGGGAGUGAAUGGCCACUGUGUUGGGGUGACUUUUCUUUCCAUCUCUGAUUGGUCAAAUUCCACACAAAUGCCACCUACUACUUAACAUUUCACAGGUCAUUCUAUGAGAAAAAUGCUGUCCCUGCACCAAGCUUCUGCAAUAUUUUGCCUUCACGUUUAUUUUCAUCCGCACUUGACCAUUUUUGUACCCUGUAUUACUGACAGAUUCUUUAACAUGCUAUGUCUUCCACACAGUAGCUGUAGUAGUGUCCUGAAUACAAAAAAAUGAAAUAAAUCUUAAUUAAGUGAUUAGAGUUUCCAUUUACUUUUCUACUUUCGUAGGGCUUACCUUCCUUUCCUGAAUUUAUUCCUCUAAAGGCUGAGAAUUUUCAAACACGAGUUUGGGUCGAUCUAAUUCAGUUCAAUUCCGCAAACAUUUAUCAAUCUUCUCACCCUCUGUAUAUGCAUCUCAACUGUCUUUACCCCGAGAAGAAGUGCAUUCUGUAUAUUUUAUCUACGUAAACACCCUUGGGCUGAAUGGCGUGAAGUGUUAACUCUUGACCAGUGGUGAUGGCUUUGAGGAUUCUGUGAAAGAGAGAAGUUUUAAAACGUAAUUUUAUCAAGUCACAGAUGAAACAUUCAGAGACUUUUGGUAUCCUUUUCAACAAGCACAUAUCCAUAAAGAAAGAAUAAAAAGGGUACAAAGGGAACUACACUUAAAAAACAGUGCAGUAGAACCAUUCAUACUGAAUGACAUAUCCGGGACUGAACAGUGAAGUCCUUGUGUCUCCACUAAGAACCACACAAAACGAAGACAAGGAGGGGACAUAAGCUCAGACAUGUAUACUGUCACUGAAACGGAGACUCAGUAACAUCCCACAUUAAAAACAAACACACACCACCUUGGCAAUGAGUGGAAGACGACAUCAUGAAUCAGUCCCCUCAAUGUGGGAAGUAAAGGCCAAGUAGCAAAGUAGGCGAGUAGGGCAGGGAGUAAGGCAGAGUGCCAGAAUCUACAAAUCCUCAGCUGACAUUCGAGCCUAGAAAGAGGGCGUAACCCUGAGGGACCGUUGUUAUGUACAGAUCUGAGGAAACAGGGCAAGAAGUAAUGCUGAGCCAGAGUGAAGAGGACAGGUAAGGCCCUUGUACAGAGAAGCCUCACGCACUAAAACAGCCUUCAUCAUGGCAGCAACAGAAGGAGUCCUCGAAUAGAGGAUCUGGGCAAGUUACCCUAAUCUCGCUAAGUCUCUGGUACAGAGAAAAAGCAAAUUGUUCAGAUGUGAAUCAUAACUAAUGACUACAUUGUUGGACCUAUAGGGAGAAAUACAAAAAAGGAACCCCUGAAAAGUCAAGUUUUUAUUUUUUAUUUAUUUAUUUUUGUUGCAUUUUAGGUUUUGGGGUACAUGUGAAGAACAUGCAAGGUAGUUGCAUAGGUACCCACGUGGCAGUAUGAUUUGCUGCCUUCCUCCCCUUCACCUAUAUCUGGCAUUUCUCCCCAUGCUCUCUCUCCCCAACUCCCCACCCCACCUCUUCCCCCCAACUGACCCCAGUGUGUGGUGCUCCCCUCCCUGUGUCCAUGUGUUCUCAUUGUUCAACACCUGCCUAUGAGUGAGAAUAUGCGGUAUUUCAUUUUCUGUUCUUGUGUCGGUUUGCUGAGAAUGAUGGUCUCCAGGUUCAUCCAUGUCCCUAUAAGGGACACAAACUCAUUGUUUUUGAUGGCUGCAUAAUAUUCCAUGGUGUAUAUGUGCCACAUUUUCCCAAUCCAGUCUAUCAUGUAUGGGCAUUUGAGUUGGUUCCAGGUCUUUGCUAUUGCAAACAGUGCUGCAGUGAACAUUCGUGUGCAUGUGUCCUUAUAGUAGAACGAUUUAUAGUCCUUUGGAUAUAUACCCAGUAAUGGGAUUGCUGGGUCAAAUGGAAUUUCUAUUUCUAGGUCCUUGAGGAAUCGCCACACUGUCUUCCACAAUGGUUGAACUAAUUUACACUCCCACCAACAGUGUAAAAAUAUUCCUAUUUCUCCACAUCCUCUCCAGCAUCUGUUGUCUCCAGAUUUUUUAAUGAUCGCCAUUCUAACUGGUGUGAGAUGAUAUCUCAAUGUGGUUUUUUAUCAGAAGAGAACUCACUAGGAAAUUAUCUCUAUUGAGAAAAAGUCCAAUACAAUAUGUCUUCAAGAAUUUUCUUUUUUCUUUUUCUUUUUUUUGAGAUGAAGUUUUGCUGUUGCCCAGGCUGGAGUGCAGUGGCGUGAUCUCAGCUCACUGCAACCUCCACCACCCAGGUUCAAGCGAUUGUCAUCUCAGCCUCCCAGAUAGCUGGGAUUACAGGCGUCCACCACCAUGCCCAGCUAAU